UACGUAGGGUGCAAGCGUUGUCCGGAAUUAUUGGGCGUAAAGAGCGUGUAGGCGGCCCGGUUAGUCCGCUGUGAAAGUCCAGGGCUCAACCCUGGAAUGCCGGUGGAUACUGUCGGGCUAGAGUCCGGAAGGGGCGAGUGGAAUUCCUGGUGUAGCGGUGAAAUGCGCAGAUAUCUGGAGGAACACCGGUGGCGAAGGCGGCCCCCUGGACCGGUACUGACGCUGAGGCGCGAAAGCGUGGGUAGCAAACGGG
rnacentral:rRNA from 1 species